UCUACUAUCUUUUAUCUGAUUGAAAUUUAUCCAUGGAGUUCUUUCUAUCUGACUACCUUGUCAGUUGGUGAACAAUUUGACUGCAAUUUUAAUUAGAUCAUAAUACAUUGUGUUCUGCAACUCCUGCUUUACUUUUUGAAGGUGCGGAGUCAAAGUUAGAAGCUAUCUGAGAAGAUCCCAUGAGUUUUAAGGAAAAGUCUUCGUCAUCAGGGGCGGGCAAGGACACCAACAAAUGCCAUAAUGGGAACAGGUCUUGGGAAGGUACACUGUAAUUCAUUUAUUGCAAAGAGUAUUUUUACUUUUUUUAAAUUUGAUGCCCAAAAAUGUUGCGGUUCCCCAUCCCACCACAAAGAGUAUUUUUCUAAAUUUAUUGCAAAGAGUAUUUUUCUAAAUUUUAGGUUUAGGUUGUUACCUCAACUGUCAAGUAGAAAUAAUAAGCUGUAUUAUGUGCUCUAGCUGGGAUUUAGAUCACUGUGUUAUCAAUCUCCGGUUAGAUCUACGCAAUUGGAGCUCAUUUAACAAAUUAGGCUCAUUCUUGGUGAAACUAGCUAUUUUCAUGAUUUUAGUUAUGCCUCUAAUUUUCCAUGAAUUAGAGGUUUAUCCAUAGCUACGUAGUGCGUGACACAUUUAUCUUAUGCCCACAUUGUUCGAUUUGUUAGACAGUGGAGUAAUUUCAUCAUAUCAAUUGUACGCCUCAUAAUGUAGAAAUUUCGGUUUGAAGUUUUGAAGAUUAAGUCAGUAUGCUUUGUGAUUUGCAUCUAUCAACAUGUAAAAUAUGGCACCUUAAAUACCUGGACAAUCUAUCCUUAAAUUUUUUUGUUUUUGUUACCAAAAGUUGACCAUGUUGUUACAUUUUAGAUGGUUUGAAAUUUAUUGGUUGUGUGAUUCACUGAUUUGGGUCUAUUCUAACAUGACGUGCAUAUUUCGUGUUGUUUGGUGUAGUUGUAUUCUUUUCUAAAUCUGCGUUAUCUCUUUUAGAUAGAUAUUUACGGUAGUCAGUAGGUCUUACGUUCUGAGAUUGUCCUAGUUUCUUUUCUUACUUGUGUGGUGCGAAUUUAUCAACUUUCGGGAGUUUCAUGUUUCUCUUAGGAGAUAAAGAAAAAUUAGAGAAGAGAAACCACACCUGAUCAGUGUCCAAGGUGUCCGAAUUUGUCAUCACUACAACUACCUGAAAGAGUAGAUACAACACCAAGUCCCAAAUCUACAAGAGCAGGCCUGUCCCAAAGACCAAGUUUGGCGAAGUACAAAGGAUCUGUAAAAAAAAUUGCUUCCACGAGAAUUUCCUCCCACGAAGAGGAUAAGACCGUUCUUCUUGUUCCGGAGACGCAUAUGUCAGUGGGUCCAGUCGACAAGUCUUCUACCUCAAUGUCCUUUUCUCUGACCAUGGUGUUCUCCUCGUCAAUGGCUGAAUGCACCAAGUGUGUGUGCCAGUAACACCUGUUGCAUACUUGGGCGUUAGAAGACAUCUGCAGGAUGACUCUGAGUUUCCUGUAAACGGUGAGUUCAAGGAGGAUAGAUUCGUGUAUAUGUAACUUACAGGAUGGUUGACGGAGGAUUAUGAGAUGACAUUUCUGUUACUUAGUGAUGGUCUUUUCAUCGACCCAAGUAUUUUGUUUUAUAAAUACUUAAUAUUUUCAUGAUAUCUUUUAGUGUAGACUG